rnacentral:rRNA from 1 species
UACAGAGGGUGCAAGCGUUAAUCGGAAUUACUGGGCGUAAAGGGUGCGUAGGUGGUUGAAUAAGUUAGGUGUGAAAGUCCCGGGCUUAACCUGGGGAUUGCGCCUGAUACUGUUUAGCUAGAGUACUGUAGAGGAAGGUGGAAUUUCCGGUGUAGCGGUGAAAUGCGUAGAUAUCGGAAGGAACAUCAGUGGCGAAGGCGACCUUCUGGACAGAUACUGACACUGAGGCACGAAAGCGUGGGGAGCAAACAGG